AUUGAACGCUGGCGGCAUGCCUUACACAUGCAAGUCGAACGGCAGCACGUCCCCUCGGGGAUGGUGGCGAGUGGCGAACGGGUGAGUAAUACAUCGGAACGUACCCAGGAGUGGGGGAUAACGUAGCGAAAGUUACGCUAAUACCGCAUAUUCUGUGAGCAGGAAAGCGGGGGAUCGCAAGACCUCGCGCUCUUGGAGCGGCCGAUGUCGGAUUAGCUAGUUGGUGAGGUAAGAGCUCACCAAGGCGACGAUCCGUAGCAGGUCUGAGAGGAUGAUCUGCCACACUGGGACUGAGACACGGCCCAGACUCCUACGGGAGGCAGCAGUGGGGAAUUUUGGACAAUGGGGGCAACCCUGAUCCAGCCAUGCCGCGUGAGUGAAGAAGGCCUUCGGGUUGUAAAGCUCUUUCGGCGGGGAAGAAAUGGCAACGGCUAAUAUCCGUUGUUGAUGACGGUACCCGCAUAAGAAGCACCGGCUAACUACGUGCCAGCCGCCGCCGUAACAC
rnacentral:rRNA from 1 species